rnacentral:rRNA from 1 species
UUAAAUUGAAGAGUUUGAUCAUGGCUCAGAUUGAACGCUGGCGGCAGGCCUAACACAUGCAAGUCGAACGGUAACAGGAAGCAGCUUGCUGCUUUGCUGACGAGUGGCGGACGGGUGAGUAAUGUCUGGGAAACUGCCUGAUGGAGGGGGAUAACUACUGGAAACGGUAGCUAAUACCGCAUAACGUCGCAAGACCAAA